rnacentral:snoRNA from 1 species
AAUCACAUAUUGACUUUACAGGUGAUAUAGUUAAGAUCCUCAAAGAGUUAAUGCAUUUCUGAUGUGCUAAAUAAAUCUUCGGAGGUAAAUUAGCAGCAUGACUAAUUUAGCCAUUGCUGUCAUUCACCUUCAGACAAGA